rnacentral:rRNA from 1 species
GAGUUUGAUCCUGGCUCAGGAUAAACGCUGGCGGCGCACAUAAGACAUGCAAGUCGAACGAACUUAACCUUUAGGUUUACUAAUGGAGCGGUUAGUGGCGGACUGGUGAGUAACACGUAAGCAACCUGCCUAUCAGAGGGGAACAACAGUUAGAAAUGACUGCUAAUACCGCAUAUGCCUUGAGUAUCGCAUGGUACAAGAGGGAAAGGAGCAAUCCGCUGAUAGAUGGGCUUGCGUCUGAUUAGAUAGUUGGUGGGGUAACGGCCUACCAAGUCGACGAUCAGUAGCCGGACUGAGAGGUUGAACGGCCACAUUGGGACUGAGAUACGGCCCAGACUCCUACGGGAGGCAGCAGUCGGGAAUAUUGCGCAAUGGAGGAAACUCUGACGCAGUGACGCCGCGUGCAGGAAGAAGGUUUUCGGAUUGUAAACUGCUUUAGACAGGGAAGAACAAGGACAGUACCUGUAGAAUAAGCUCCGGCUAACUACGUGCC